UACUGCUAUCAGUGUUCGAUUAAGCCAUGCGAGUUAAAUGUUCUUCGUGAACAUGGCGUACUGCUCAGUAACACGUGGAUAACCUGCCCUAAGGUCCGGCAUAACCCCGGGAAACUGGGGAUAAUACCGGAUAAACCAUAGAUACUGGAAUGUUCUGUGGUUAAAAGUUCCGGCGCCUUAGGAUGGAUCUGCGGCCUAUCAGGUAGUAGUGGGUGUAAAGUACCUACUAGCCGACGACGGGUACGGGUUGUGAGAGCAAGAGCCCGGAGAUGGAUUCUGAGACAUGAAUCCAGGCCCUACGGGGCGCAGCAGGCGCGAAAUCUUUACAAUGCGGGAAACCGCGAUAAGGGGACACUGAGUGCCAGCAUAUUAUGUUGGCUGUCCACCUGUAUAAAUCACAGGUGUUAGCAAGGGCCGGGCAAGACCGGUGCCAGCCGCCGCGGUAACACCGGCGGCCCGAGUGGUAGCCACUAUUAUUGGGUCUAAAGGGUCCGUAGCCGGUUUGAUCAGUCUUCCGGGAAAUCUGACAGCUCAACUGUUAGGCUUCCGGGGGAUACUGUCAGGCUUGGGACCGGGAGAGGUAAGAGGUACUACAGGGGUAGGAGUGAAGUCUUGUAAUCCCUGUGGGACCACCAGUGGCGAAGGCGUCUUACCAG
rnacentral:rRNA from 1 species